GAGUAAUGCGUGACCAACCUGCCCCAUGCUCCAGAAUAGCUCUUGGAAACGGGUGGUAAUGCUGGAUGCUCCAACUUGACGCAUGUCUUGUUGGGAAAGUGUUUAGUGGCAUGGGAUGGGGUCGCGUCCUAUCAGCUUGUAGGCGGGGUAAUGGCCACUAGGCUUCGACGGGUNACGCCGGCCUGAGAGGGCGGACGGCCACAUUGGGACUGAGAUACGGCCCAGACUCCUACGGGAGGCAGCAGCC
rnacentral:rRNA from 1 species